rnacentral:rRNA from 1 species
CCUACGGGAGGCAGCAGUGGGGAAUAUUGGACAAUGGGGGGAACCCUGAUCCAGCCAUGCCGCGUGUGUGAAGAAGGCCCUCGGGUUGUAAAGCACUUUCAGUGAGGAAGAACGCCUGGUGGUUAAUACCCAUCAGGAAAGACAUCACUCACAGAAGAAGCACCGGCUAACUCCGUGCCAGCAGCCGCGGUAAUACGGAGGGUGCGAGCGUUAAUCGGAAUUACUGGGCGUAAAGCGCGCGUAGGUGGCUUGAUAAGCCGGUUGUGAAAGCCCCGGGCUCAACCUGGGAACGGCAUCCGGAACUGUCGAGCUAGAGUGCAGGAGAGGAAGGUAGAAUUCCCGGUGUAGCGGUGAAAUGCGUAGAGAUCGGGAGGAAUACCGGUGGCGAAGGCGGCCUUCUGGACUGACACUGACACUGAGGUGCGAAAGCGUGGGUAGCAAACAGGAUUAGAUACCCUAGUAGUC